UACGGAGGGUGCAAGCGUUAUCCGGAUUUACUGGGUUUAAAGGGUGCGUAGGUGGGUCAGGUAAGUCAGUGGUGAAAUCUCCGAGCUUAACUCGGAAACUGCCAUUGAUACUAUCUGUCUUGAAUAAUUCUGGAGGUGAGCGGAAUAUGUCAUGUAGCGGUGAAAUGCUUAGAUAUGACAUAGAACACCAAUUGCGAAGGCAGCUCACUACGGAUAUAUUGACACUGAGGCACG
rnacentral:rRNA from 1 species